rnacentral:rRNA from 1 species
CACGGGGGUUGCGAGCGUUGUCCGGAAUUACUAGGCGUAAAGGGCAGGCAGGCGGAUCCAUAAGUUUAUCGUUUAAGGCGUCGGCUUAACCGGCGUAGGGCGGUAGAUACUGUGGAUCUGGAAUGCGGUUGGGGAAGACAGAAUUCCUGGUGUAGCGGUGGAAUGCGCAGAGAUCAGGAGGAAUACCGAAGGCGAAGGCAGUCUUCCAAGCCGCUAUUGACGCUCAACUGCGAAGGUGUGGGUAUCAAACAGGAUUAGAUACCCGCGUAGUCCCUGA